UGACGGGGCCCGCACAAGCGGAGGAACAUGUGGUUUAAUUCGAUGAUACGCGAGGAACCUUACCUGGGCUUAAAUGGGAGUGACAGCUGUCGAAAGAUGGUUUUCUUCGGACACUCUUCAAGGUGCUGCAUGGUUGUCGUCAGCUCGUGCCGUGAGGUGUCGGGUUAAGUCCCAUAACGAGCGCAACCCUUACCGUUAGUUACCAUCAGGUUAAGCUGGGGACUCUAGCGGGACUGCCACCGUAAGGUGAGAGGAAGGUGGGGAUGACGUCAAAUCAGCACGGCCCUUAUGUCCAGGGCUACACACGUGUUACAAUGGCCAGUACAAAGGGCAGCUACCGGGUGACCGGAUGCUAACCUCUAAAGCUGGUCUCAGUUCGGGUCGAAGUCUGCAACCCGACUUCGUGAAGCUGGAUUCGCUAGUAAUCGCGCAUCAGCCAUGGCGCGGUGAAUACGUUCCCGGGCCUU
rnacentral:rRNA from 1 species